GACGAACGCUGGCGGCGUGCCUAAUACAUGCAAGUCGAGCGCGGGAAAUCAUCCGAACCCUUCGGGGGGACGUUGAUGGAAUGAGCGGCGGACGGGUGAGUAACACGUAAAGAACCUGCCCUCAGGUCUGGGAUAACCACGAGAAAUCGGGGCUAAUACCGGAUGGGUCAUCGGACCGCAUGGUCCGAGGAUGAAAGGCGCUCCGGCGUCGCCUGGGGAUGGCUUUGCGGUGCAUUAGCUAGUUGGUGGGGUAAUGGCCCACCAAGGCGACGAUGCAUAGCCGACCUGAGAGGGUGAUCGGCCACACUGGGACUGAGACACGGCCCAGACUCCUACGGGAGGCAGCAGUAGGGAAUCUUCCACAAUGGACGAAAGUCUGAUGGAGCAACGCCGCGUGAACGAUGAAGGCCUUCGGGUCGUAAAGUUCUGUUGUAAGGGAAGAACAAGUGCCGCAGGCAAUGGCGGCACCUUGACGGUACCUUGCGAGAAAGCCACGGCUAACUACGUGCCAGCCGCCGCUGUAA
rnacentral:rRNA from 1 species